rnacentral:tRNA from 1 species
CCUGUAGCUCAGAUGGUAAAGAAUCUGCCUGCAAUGCAGAAGAUCCGGGUUCAAUCCCUGGGUCAGGA